CUUGUGCUUCCGUCGUAGUGAACAGCGGUUACUUUACGACACAUAAAUUACGUUGGAGAAAAUGAGAAGCCAAUGUUCUGGAGCCAGCCAGACACGCUCUAGUGGACGGACUUCGGCGUAAUGAGUGACAACUGCAUGCUAGUCACUCCCAGCAAAUCAACAGUGAAAACAGAGAGAGCUGAUCCGUGGGCCUAAUAGAAACCACUGGUCCUGCCCAUCUCUCAGGACGCCUAACAAACAGAUGUCCAGGGAUUACCCCUUCCCAGUGGAAAGACACAGGCUCUGUUUAUGUUUGUGAAUUUGCUUUACUCCCCCGAAAAUGUCAAGUAUUUUUAAACAAGACUGUGUUGAAAUGCUGAAUGAGUGGACUGCACAGAACAUGCAUCAACACACUGGAAGUCUUCCGUUCUGGCAGCAGGUGAUGCUUCAUCCCACCAGGCCUCUGCUGCAAUGUGGCAUGGCUUUAUCUACUCCUCAAUACUGUAUAUAUUGUAUGAAUGGAAGUGCGCCAUUUCAAGUAAAUAAGACCAUUCACUUGUGCACAUUGUAUACGACAUAACACAGGUUGCUUCAUAUGAAGACAUACUGCAGUGGUCAAUCAUAAUAUAACCUUUUUUCAUUUGAAUUCAGAAAUAUCUAUUGAUUUUUGCAUUA